AGAGCGAACGCUGGCGGCGUGCCUAACACAUGCAAGUCGAACGUGAACGGGGCAACCCUAGUAAAGUGGCGUACGGGUGAGUAACACGUAGGUAAUCUACCUUACAGUUUGGAAUAACCUGCCGAAAGGCGGGCUAAUACUGGAUAGAGCGACGGAAACCGUAACGGUUUUUUCGGGAAAGGGAGCUCGAUAAGAGCCUUCGCUGUAAGAUGAGCCUGCGUCUGAUUAGCUAGUUGGUGAGGUAAUGGCUCACCAAGGCGAUGAUCAGUAGCUGGUCUGGAGAGGAUGAUCAGCCACACGUGGAACUAGAAACACGG
rnacentral:rRNA from 1 species